GGUUCGGGGGUUCCCGAGCGGCCAAAGGGAGCAGACUGUAAAUCUGCCGUCAUCGACUUCGAAGGUUCGAAUCCUUCCCCCACCACCA
rnacentral:tRNA from 1 species